rnacentral:rRNA from 1 species
AACCGGCGUAAGGGGCAGUAAUGCAUGGGUAUUUACCCUCGGGUCUGGCAUAGCCCUUCGAGAGAAGGGGUAAUUCCAGAUGAUGUCGUGAGACCAAAGGUCCGCCGCCCGGGGAGAAGCCCAUGUGAUAUUAGGUAGUUGGCGGGGUAAUGGCCCACCAAGCCAGAGAUGUCUAGCGGGUGUGAGAGCACGACCCGCGCCACUGGCACUGAGAACUGGCCAGACACCUACGGGUGGCUGCAGUCGAGGAUCUUCGGCAAUGAGCGAAAGCUUGACCGAGCGACGCCGCGUGGGCGAUGAAGGCCUUCGGGUUGUAAAGCCCUGUCGAGGGGGAGAAAAGCGCAAGCUUGAUCUAUCCCUGGAGGAAGCACGGGCUAAGUUCGUGCCAGCAGCCGCGGUAAGACGAACCGUGCGAACGUUAUUCGGAAUCACUGGGCUUAAAGGGCGCGUAGGUGGGUUGCCAAGUCUGUGGUGAAAUCCUCCGGCUCAACCGGAGAACUGCCGUGGAUACUGGCGACCUCGAGGG